rnacentral:tRNA from 1 species
GCGGUUGUGGCGGAAUCGGCAGACGCGCACGGUUGAGGGCCGUGUCCGAAAGGGUAAGGGUUCAAGUCCCUUCAACCGCACCA